UCUACGCCCCGACUUGAACGGAGCUCUUUUUGUGCAGCAAAGCGGAACAAAAAAGCGGGAGUGGAAGGCGGAAAAAGGC
rnacentral:misc_RNA from 1 species